rnacentral:rRNA from 1 species
ACAGUGGACGCGAGCAUCUGUGGCCAAGUUUUUAAGGGCGCACGGUGGAUGCCUUGGCACCAGGAACCGAUGAAGGACGUGGGAGGCCACGAUAGUCCCCGGGGAGCCGUCAACCAGGCUUUGAUCCGGGGGUUUCCGAAUGGGGAAACCCGGCAGUCGUCAUGGGCUGUCACCCGCUGCUGAACACAUAGGCAGUGUGGAGGGAACGAGGGGAAGUGAAACAUCUCAGUACCCUCAGGAAGAGAAAACAACCGUGAUUCCGGGAGUAGUGGCGAGCGAAACCGGAUGAGGCCAAACCGUAUGCGUGUGAUACCCGGCAGGGGUUGCGCAUACGGGGUUGUGGGAUUGCACUUCAACAGUCUGCCGGCUGUUGGGCAAGUCAGAAACCGUUGAUGUAGGCGAAGGACAUGCGAAAGGUCCGGCGUAGAGGGUAAGACCCCCGUAGCUGAAACAUCAACGGCUUGCUUGUGCGACACCCAAGUAGCACGGGGCCCGAGAAAUCCCGUGUGAAUCUGGCGGGACCACCCGUUAAGCCUAAAUAUUCCCUGGUGACCGAUAGCGGAUAGUACCGUGAGGGAAUGGUGAAAAGUACCGCGGGAGCGGAGUGAAAUAGUACCUGAAACCGUGUGCCUACAAGCCGUGGGAGCGUCGCUCAUUGAGUUUACUCAAUGGGUCGUGACUGCGUGCCUUUUGAAGAAUGAGCCUGCGAGUUAGCGGUGUGUAGCGAGGUUAACCCGUGUGGGGAAGCCGUAGCGAAAGCGAGUCCGAACAGGGCGAUUGAGUUGCACGCUCUAGACCCGAAGCGGAGUGAUCUAGCCAUGGGCAGGUUGAAGCGGAGGUAAGACUUCGUGGAGGACCGAACCCACCAGGGUUGAAAACCUGGGGGAUGACCUGUGGUUAGGGGUGAAAGGCCAAUCAAACUCCGUGAUAGCUGGUUCUCCCCGAAAUGCAUUUAGGUGCAGCGUCGUGUGUUUCUUGCCGGAGGUAGAGCACUGGAUAGGCGAUGGGCCCUACCGGGUUACUGACCUUAGCCAAACUCCGAAUGCCGGUAAGUGAGAGCACGGCAGUGAGACUGUGGGGGAUAAGCUCCAUGGUCGAGAGGGAAACAGCCCAGAGCAUCGACUAAGGCCCCUAAGCGUACGCUAAGUGGGAAAGGAUGUGGAGUCGCAGAGACAACCAGGAGGUUGGCUUAGAAGCAGCCACCCUUGAAAGAGUGCGUAAUAGCUCACUGGUCAAGUGAUUCCGCGCCGACAAUGUAGCGGGGCUCAAGCGUACCGCCGAAGUCGUGUCAUUCCAGCAUAUAGGGCCAACGCCCGCUGGGAUGGGUAGGGGAGCGUCGUGUGCCGGGUGAAGCCGCGCCGGAAGGCAGUGGUGGACGGUACACGAGUGAGAAUGCAGGCAUGAGUAGCGAUACACACGUGAGAAACGUGUGCGCCGAUUGACUAAGGGUUCCUGGGUCAAGCUGAUCUGCCCAGGGUAAGUCGGGACCUAAGGCGAGGCCGACAGGCGUAGUCGAUGGACAACCGGUUGAUAUUCCGGUACCCGCUUUGAAACGCCCAAUACUGAAUCCUCUAAUGCUAAGGCCGUGAAGCCGCCCUGAUCUCUUCGGAGUUGAGGGGAGUGGUGGAGCCGCCGGCCCAAGGUGGUAGUAGGUAAGCGAUGGGGUGACGCAGGAAGGUAGUCCAGCCCGGGCGGUGGUUGUCCCGGGGUAAGGGUGUAGGCCGUGUGGCAGGCAAAUCCGUCACACAUUAAGGCUGAGACCUGAUGCCGAGCCGAUUGUGGUGAAGUGGAUGAUCCUAUGCUGUCGAGAAAAGCCUCUAGCGAGUUUCAUGGCGGCCCGUACCCUAAACCGACUCAGGUGGUCAGGUAGAGAAUACCGAGGCGUUCGGGUGAACUAUGGUUAAGGAACUCGGCAAAAUGCCCCCGUAACUUCGGGAGAAGGGGGGCCAUCACUGGUGAGAGGACUUGCUCCUUGAGCUGGGGGUGGCCGCAGAGACCAGCGAGAAGCGACUGUUUACUAAAAACACAGGUCCGUGCGAAGCCGUAAGGCGAUGUAUACGGACUGACGCCUGCCCGGUGCUGGAACGUUAAGGGGACCGGUUAGUGCGCUUUCGGGCGUGCGAAGCUGAGAACUUAAGCGCCAGUAAACGGCGGUGGUAACUAUAACCAUCCUAAGGUAGCGAAAUUCCUUGUCGGGUAAGUUCCGACCUGCACGAAUGGCGUAACGACUUCUCGACUGUCUCAACCAUAGGCCCGGUGAAAUUGCACUACGAGUAAAGAUGCUCGUUUCGCGCAGCAGGACGGAAAGACCCCGGGACCUUUACUACAGUUUGAUAUUGGUGUUCGGUUCGGCUUGUGUAGGAUAGGUGGGAGACUUUGAAGCGGCCACGCCAGUGGUUGUGGAGUCGCCGUUGAAAUACCACUCUGGUCGUGCUGGAUGUCUAACCUGGGUCCGUGAUCCGGAUCAGGGACAGUGUCUGAUGGGUAGUUUAACUGGGGCGGUUGCCUCCUAAAGAGUAACGGAGGCGCCCAAAGGUUCCCUCAGCCUGGUUGGCAAUCAGGUGUUGAGUGUAAGUGCACAAGGGAGCUUGACUGUGAGACCGACGGGUCGAGCAGGGACGAAAGUCGGGACUAGUGAUCCGGCGGUGGCUUGUGGAAGCGCCGUCGCUCAACGGAUAAAAGGUACCCCGGGGAUAACAGGCUGAUCUUCCCCAAGAGUCCAUAUCGACGGGAUGGUUUGGCACCUCGAUGUCGGCUCGUCGCAUCCUGGGGCUGGAGUCGGUCCCAAGGGUUGGGCUGUUCGCCCAUUAAAGCGGUACGCGAGCUGGGUUUAGAACGUCGUGAGACAGUUCGGUCCCUAUCCGCUGCGCGCGCAGGAGUCUUGAGAAGGGCUGUCCCUAGUACGAGAGGACCGGGACGGACGAACCUCUGGUGUGCCAGUUGUCCUGCCAAGGGCAUGGCUGGUUGGCUACGUUCGGAAAGGAUAACCGCUGAAAGCAUCUAAGCGGGAAGCCUGCUUCGAGAUGAGGACUCCCACCUCCUAGAGAGGGUAAGGCUCCCAGUAGACGACUGGGUUGAUAGGCCGGAUAUGGAAGCACCGCAAGGUGUGGAGUUGACCGGUACUAAUAGGCCGAGGGCUUGUCCUCAGUUG